GUUCCUGUCGCGCAAUGGAUAACGCGUUGAACUUCUAAUCCAAAGGUUAUGUGUUCGAAUGCUAACUGGAAUG